GCAGGAUGCGGUGGCCACGCCUGUAAUCCCAGCAGCUCAGGAGGCUGAGGCAGGAGGAUUGCAAGUUCAAGGCCCGACUCAGCAACUUAGCAAGACCCUGUCUCAA
rnacentral:sRNA from 1 species